UAUGUAGGGUUGCAUUCUGUUAUAUUCUGAAGAUAUUGAAAUCACCUAGAGGAGGGACAAAGAUAACACAAACUUGUUGAAGUACUUGGCUUGAUUUGUGCAGAUCAUAGUGAAUGAGUGAUGUUUGUAUGGACUUCUGCAAUCAACGUAGGAGGAGAAACAUGCCAUCCAAGAUGAAGAUGGAUUUCUGUAACUCCUACCUUCCUGGACCUUUGAUUGCCUUGCAUCAAGAGCUUGAAACAUUUCGUAAAAAUGGUUAAGAUCUCAGGAAAAAGUAGAAUUGCCUCUCAGUUACUUGAGAUGCGAUUGUCUUAACUUCUUCCAGUGUCUUAUAUGGCCCUUCCGUGUGCUCUAUUCUGUGUUUUGUCGGCUACCUGUUCGAGUUUGAGUAAAUGUAAUAUUCUAGUCAACAACUUACCCUCUGUAGAUUCAGCACAAUGGUAAUUACUUUUAGUACAUGCUCUGCAAUCCUACUUUCUUAUGAAUUGCUUGAUUUUCUUACUAGCUUUUGUUGGGUUUAGUUGGUGAUGUAAUUUAGUUUGGGAACAUGGCCACAGGUGUUUGGAAUUUGUGUAGGGUUGCAUUCUGUUAUAUUGUGAAGAUAUUGAAAUCACAAUGAACCAACAUAGCACAAUCGAUCUGGAACAUGGAUGGGACUUCAUCCAAAGGGGCAUCACAAAGCUGAAGAACACUCUAGAAGGGCUGCCUGAGCCUCGGUUCAGCGCAAAGGACUAUAUGAAGCUGUGUACGAGAAUUUACAACAUGUGUACUCAGAAGCCCCCACAUGAUUAUUAAUCUCAACAACUUUAUGACAAAUAUCAUGAAGCUUUUGAAGAAUAUAUCACAACAACGAAAGUGCAGCAUGAGUUGUUGUCUGUGUAUGCCACUCAACUUCUUGAGAAGGAGCACUCUGGAUUCCACGCGUUACUAAGAGAUUAAGGUUGAAGAUUUAUCAAGGCUGUAUAGGCUCUUUUCUAAGAUUC